GAGCCAUGUCUACUCUGGGGGAACAAAAAGGGACAAUGCAUACAUGUGGCCCAGCCCUUUAUCUACAAGCUUCCUUCUUUCUCAGGAGCUUAUGAGAAACCCUUCCUCUCAAGCAUGACUGGUAUCAUGGUGCCUUCAGGGAAGAAUGAGAAGUUGCGGUGUUUCUCAACACUCAAGUUUGAUGCAUCUAUUCUUAUGAAGAAAGAUGGAGUUCACACCAUCCAGAACCAAAUCUCCACCUCUGAGGGUGGUGGACACCAGGCUGUGUUCCUCUUGAAUCAUGUCUCCUCCACACAAACUGGGACCUACAGAUGCUAUGGUGUCUUCGGUCAUUACCCUUAUGUGUGGUCUCACCCCAGUGACCGAUUGCAGCUUUGGGUCACAGCCCCAUUUGCAGAAGCUUCUGACCAUCCUGUUCCCACAAGCCCCAGACCUUCACCUGAUUCCCUGAUGGGAUCACCACUGUGGCCACAAUCAAAGGAGGAAUGAAAGAACCUGCUGCCUGGCAUCUUUCUGCAGAGAAUCAAGUCCGGCUGAGCAUGGCUGGCCUGAUUCUCUUGGUCCUGGGGGUGCUCUUGGCUGAGGCCUGGUACAGCCGGAAGAUGCCCUUAAAUGGACACAGACAAGCCCCCACCUGAGUGUAAUGACAGCACCAAUGUCCUUCUAUUGGCAUCUAAUGACUGUGUGGACCCUGGGGGAGCAGCCAGAGGAGAUAGUGCCCUGGCCAUGUCACCUACUGAGAUAUCGGAGAAGACUUGUUUCUUGUUGAAUCUGUAACAACCUACCCCAGACACUUCGGUUUAAAGCAACACCAAUUCAUUCUCUUUUCGUUCUAGAGAGCAGGAGUCUAAAAAGUGUCUGCAGGCCUGCAUUCCUCUUUUAGCGUCUGGUCUGUGUUCCUGCCUUUUCUGUUUCUGGGCUCCGCCUGCAUUCCUUGCCUUCUGGAUCCCUCCUCCAUCUCCAAACCCACCAGUGUAGCAUCUUCUCUCUUCUCUGACCUCUGCUUCCUUCCUGC